GACGAACCGUGCGAACGUUGUUCGGAAUCACUGGGCUUAAAGGGCGCGUAGGCGGCUUGCCAAGUCAGGGGUGAAAUCCUGCAUCUUAACUGUAGAAGGGCCUUUGAUACUGGCGAGCUCGAGGGAGGUAGGGGUAUGUGGAACUUCCGGUGGAGCGGUGAAAUGCGUUGAUAUCGGAAGGAACGCCGGUGGCGAAAGCGACGUACUGGACCUCUUCUGACGCUGAGGCGCGAAAGCUAGGGGAGCAAACGGG
rnacentral:rRNA from 1 species